rnacentral:rRNA from 1 species
GAUGAACGCUGGCGGCGUGCCUAAUACAUGCAAGUCGAGCGAACGGACGAGAAGUUUGCUUCUCUGAUGUUAGCGGCGGACGGGUGAGUAACACGUGGAUAACCUACCUAUAAGACUGGGAUAACUUCGGGAAACCGGAGCUAAUACCGGAUGAUAUUUUGAACCGCAUGGUUCAAAAGUGAAAGACGGUCUUGCUGUCACUUAUAGAUGGAUCCGCGCUGCAUUAGCUAGUUGGUAAGGUAACGGCUUACCAAGGCAACGAUGCAUAGCCGACCUGAGAGGGUGAUCGGCCACACUGGAACUGAGACACGGUCCAGACUCCUACGGGAGGCAGCAGUAGCGAAUCUUCCGCAAUGGGCGAAAGCCUGACGGAGCAACGCCGCGUGAGUGAUGAAGGUCUUCGGAUCGUAAAACUCUGUUAUUAGGGAAGAACAUAUGUGUAAGUGACUGUGCACAUCUUGACGGUACCUAAUCAGAAAGCCACGGCGAACUACGUG